AUUGAACGCUGGCGGCAGGCCUAACACAUGCAAGUCGAGCGAGCGGCGGACGGGUGAGUAAUGUCUGGGGAACUGCCUGAUGGCGGGGGAUAACUCCUGGAAACGGUAGCUAAUACCGCAUACCAUCAGAUGUGGCCAGAUGGGAUUAGCUAGUAGGUGGGGUAACGCCUCACCGAGGCGACGAUCCCUAGCUGGUCUGAGAGGAUGACCAGCGAAACUGGAACUGAGAAACGGUCCAGACUCCUACGUGAGGAAGCAGUGGGGAAUAUUGCACAAUGGGCGCAAGCCUGAUGCAGCCAUGCCGCGGGUGGGAAGAAGGCCUUCGGGGUGUAAAGGACUUUCAGCGGGGAGGCGUUACCCGAAGAAGAAGCACCGGCUAACUCCGUGCCAGCAGCCGCGGUAAUUC
rnacentral:rRNA from 1 species